rnacentral:rRNA from 1 species
AUUGAACGCUGGCGGCAGGCUUAACACAUGCAAGUCGAACGAGUGGCGGACGGGUGAGUAAUGUCUGGGAAUCUGCCUUAUGGAGGGGGAUAACUACGGGAAACUGUAGCUAAUACCGCGUACCAUAGGAUGAGCCCAAGUGGGAUUAGGGAGUUGGUGAGGUAAUGGCUCACCAAGACGACGAUCUCUAGCUGGUCUGAGAGGAUGACCAGCCACACUGGGACUGAGACACGGCCCAGACUCCUACGGGAGGCAGCAGUGGGGAAUAUUGCGCAAUGGGGGCAACCUGAUGCAGCCAUGCCGCGUGAAUGAAGAAGGCCUUCGGGUUGUAAAGUUCUUUCGGUAGCGAGGCGUUAACUACAGAAGAAGCACCGGCUAACUCCGUGCCAGCAGCCGCGGUAACUC